ensembl:miRNA gga-mir-1726 gga-mir-1726
CGCUGUGGUGGAGCUGCUGGGCCAAACCCAUGAAAGCUCUCGUGGGGAAGAGAAAAGCUUGUUGGGUUUGGUUUGUUGGCCGCCUGCUCUCAUGGCG